rnacentral:rRNA from 1 species
CGGGGUAGGAGUAACGCGUGAGGAACCUGCCUCAAAGAGGGGGACAACAGUUGGAAACGACUGCUAAUACCGCAUAAGCCCACAGGUCGGCAUCGACCAGAGGGAAAAGGAGCAAUCCGCUUUGAGAUGGCCUCGCGUCCGAUUAGCUAGUUGGUGAGGUAAUGGCCCACCAAGGCAACGAUCGGUAGCCGGACUGAGAGGUUGAACGGCCACAUUGGGACUGAGACACGGCCCAG